ensembl:ncRNA E01H11.5 ncRNA
CAGCAGCGAUAAAGCUGAGCCGUUUUUCCUUCUUUUGAGCUUCUUUUUUAUAAGCUAAAUUUUUGGGUCAAGUUUACAUACUUCACACCUUUCAAGUCAAUCGAAGAAGCACAUAGAAGGAGAAACAGAAGAAGCCU